rnacentral:rRNA from 1 species
UGAGUAACCUGCCCUUCACUCUGGGAUAACUCCGGGGAAACCGGGGCUAAUACUGGAUAUGACUCGAACAGGCAUCUGUUUCGGGUGGAAAGAUUUAUUGGUGGAGGAUGGACUCGCGGCCUAUCAGCUUGUUGGUGAGGUAAUGGCUCACCAAGGCGACGACGAGUAGCCGGCCUGAGAGGGCGAUCGGCCACACUGGGACUGAGACACGGCCCAGACUCCUACGGGAGGCA